UUGAAGAGUUUGAUCAUGGCUCAGAUUGAACGCUGGCGGCAGGCCUAACACAUGCAAGUCGAACGGUAACAGGAAGCAGCUUGCUGCUUUGCUGACGAGUGGCGGACGGGUGAGUAAUGUCUGGGAAACUGCCCGAUGGAGGGGGAUAACUACUGGAAACGGUAGCUAAUACCGCAUAACGUCGCAAGACCAAAGAGGGGGACCUUAGGGCCUCUUGCCAUCGGAUGUGCCCAGAUGGGAUUAGCUAGUAGGUGGGGUAAUGGCUCACCUAGGCGACGAUCCCUAGCUGGUCUGAGAGGAUGACCAGCCACACUGGAACUGAGACACGGUCCAGACUCCUACGGGAGGCAGCAGUGGGGAAUAUUGCACAAUGGGCGCAAGCCUGAUGCAGCCAUGCCGCGUGUAUGAAGAAGGCCUUCGGGUUGUAAAGUACUUUCAGCGGGGAGGAAGGGAGUAAAGUUAAUACCUUUGCUCAUUGACGUUACCCGCAGAAGAAGCACCGGCUAACUCCGUGCCAGCAGCCGCGGUAAUACGGAGGGUGCAAGCGUUAAUCGGAAUUACUGGGCGUAAAGCGCACGCAGGCGGUUUGUUAAGUCAGAUGUGAAAUCCCCGGGCUCAACCCGGGAACUGCAUCUGAUACUGGCAAGCUUGAGUCUCGUAGAGGGGGGGUAGAAUUCCAGGUGUAGCGGUGAAAUGCGUAGAGAUCUGGAGGAAUACCGGUGGCGAAGGCGGCCCCCUGGACGAAGACUGACGCUCAGGUGCGAAAGCGUGGGGAGCAAACAGGAUUAGAUACCCUGGUAGUCCACGCCGUAAACGAUGUCGACUUGGAGGUUGUGCCCUUGAGGCGUGGCUUCCGGAGCUAACGCGUUAAGUCGACCGCCUGGGGAGUACGGCCGCAAGGUUAAAACUCAAAUGAAUUGACGGGGGGCCCGCACAAGCGGUGGAGCAUGUGGUUUAAUUCGAUGCAACGCGAAGAACCUUACCUGGUCUUGACAUCCACGGAAGUUUUCAGAGAUGAGAAUGUGCCUUCGGGAACCGUGAGACAGGUGCUGCAUGGCUGUCGUCAGCUCGUGUUGUGAAAUGUUGGGUUAAGUCCCGCAACGAGCGCAACCCUUAUCCUUUGUUGCCAGCGGUCCGGCCGGGAACUCAAAGGAGACUGCCAGUGAUAAACUGGAGGAAGGUGGGGAUGACGUCAAGUCAUCAUGGCCCUUACGACCAGGGCUACACACGUGCUACAAUGGCGCAUACAAAGAGAAGCGACCUCGCGAGAGCAAGCGGACCUCAUAAAGUGCGUCGUAGUCCGGAUUGGAGUCUGCAACUCGACUCCAUGAAGUCGGAAUCGCUAGUAAUCGUGGAUCAGAAUGCCACGGUGAAUACGUUCCCGGGCCUUGUACACACCGCCCGUCACACCAUGGGAGUGGGUUGCAAAAAGAAGUAGGUAGCUUAACCUUCGGGAGGGCGCUUACCACUUUGUGAUUCAUGACUGGGGUGAAGUCGUAACAAGGUAACCGUAGGGGGAACCUGCGGUUGGAUCACCUCCUU
rnacentral:rRNA from 1 species